CGCGGAGUGCCGAAAGUUGCCCGCGCAGGGUUUCGACCUCUGCCGUGUCAGCGUCUGUAGCCUGGCUUUUGGCUUCGAUUGCCGACUCCGCAGCC
rnacentral:tRNA from 1 species